AUAAGUUUUAGCUGUUCUUUCAAGAGAAAAUUACAAACCGAGUAGGAUUUUCGCUAGGAAGGUGCAUGGAUUUUUCUGCAGAGAGAGCCUGAGCAGCCAGGUGCUGGUCACCAGAAAGACCAUGUCAAGAUUAGAAAACUGAGCUGCAGUCAGACCUCUUCUGUAGGAAGAAGGGCAGGGCUGACAGUUAAAUAUCCAGGAUGUCUGCAUGAGGAAGCCUGUAUGGAAAUCCUUGAAUUUAGGUUCAAGUUUCUUACCUGAUGGAUACAUGGAGCCGCCCAUAGGACAAUGAACUGGGAAAGGGCAUGGAAGUUUGAGCCAUUCCCACAUAUUCUGUCUUAUGGGUCCCUUUGGUGUGUCUGUUAGUCUGCAUCCAUUGUAAUAACCUCUAAAUUAAAUGGGUAAACUUAA